GAAGAAUUGAAGAACUUGAGACUAGUUUGGUUGAAAGGAGGAGGGAUUGCUCCAACCAAGUUGUUGUCUUGUAACUAAAGAACGUAUAAUCAGGUUAGUUUGAGGAGAGACUCUGGGAUUGGACUAAAGAUUUGGUUUUCAGCUAAUUAACUUUUAAACGGUGUACUUUGGUAAUGGAAUCUAGGAAAUCGCUAGAAAAAUUU
rnacentral:misc_RNA from 1 species